rnacentral:rRNA from 1 species
CGGGGAGCACCACAACAGGUGGAGCCUGCGGUUUAAUCGGACUCAACGCCGGGAAACUCACCAGAUAAGACAGCUGAAUGAUAGUCGGGCUGAAGACUCUACUUGACUAGCUGAGAGGAGGUGCAUGGCCGUCGUCAGUUCGUACUGUGAAGCAUCCUGUUAAGUCAGGCAACGAGCGAGACCCACGCCAACAGUUGCCAGCUCGUCCUCCGGGAUGGUGGGGACACUGUUGGGACCGCCUCUGCUAAAGAGGAGGAAGGAAUGGGCAACGGUAGGUCAGCAUGCCCCGAAUUAUCUGGGCUACACGCGGGCUACAAUGGGUGGGACAAUGGGUAUCGACACCGAAAGGUGAAGGCAAUCUCCUAAACCCAUCCGUAGUUCGGAUUGUGGGCUGCAACUCGCCCACAUGGAGCUGGAAUCUGUAGUAAUCGUGUCUCAAAAUGGCACGGUGAAUAUGUCCCUGCUCCUU